rnacentral:sRNA from 2 species
AUCAAUUGCUUCUAGGGUUCCGAUUUCUAACGGUGGGCGUGGAAAUGACUGGUCCGAGAGAAGCAGGCCAACCGACAGCGAUUAAAGAUUUAAUCUAAAACUGGGUGGCUACACGGCGGGAGAAAAGCCCGGGAGGG